rnacentral:siRNA from 1 species
AUGAGGAUAACCGGGUUCUGUGC